rnacentral:rRNA from 1 species
GAUGAACGCUGGCGGCGUGCUUAACACAUGCAAGUCGAACGAUGCAGGUGGAGCUUGUUUCUUUGGAUGAGUUGCGCACGGGUGAGUAACGCGUAGGUAACCUGCCUGGUAGCGGGGGAUAACUAGUAGAAACGAUAGCUAACACCGAACAAGAGUAGAUGUUGCAUGACAUUUGAUUAAAAGGUGCAAUUGUAUCACUACCAGAUGGACCUGCGUUGUAUUAGCCAGUUGGUGGGGUAACGGCUUACCGAGGCGACGAUACAUAGCCGACCUGAGAGGGGGAUCGGCCACACUGAGACGGGGGCACGACCCAGACUCCUGCGAGAGACAGCAGUAGGAGAUCUUCGGCGAUGGACGGAAUGCUGAACGAGCAACGCCGCAUGAGUGAAGGAGGUUGUCAGAUCGUAAAACUCUGGUAUAAGAGAAGAACGAAUGUGAGAGUGGGAAGUUCACACUGUGACGGUAUCUUACCAGGAAGGGACGGCUAACUACGUG